AGAUUACAAUUUAUAGUUUUGUACUUCUAUUUAUUGUUUUUCUUUAUUCUAAUAUCUUUUUUUAUGUGCACUGAUCAAUUCAUUUUUUCUUGAUGCACAUGGCUUCGGGUGGUGGUGAUGAUCUCUUUCCUUACAUGGUUAUCAUCAACAUGUUUAUGAUGAAGAAGAGUGGAGCUCCAUGACACGGUGACAUACAAAUGAGCACUACUGUCUCAAUGAAUGCUAGUCCAUCUACUUCAACAGAUCCAGAUGCGUCAGGCAGCACAUGGCAUACAUUCGACCUAAAGCCUGUUGAAAAUACAUAACUGUUUAUUCUAUAAAGGGCAUCAUACAAAUCAAGUUUGAUGCUCCAUACUUAUCAUGGACAAAGAUCUCAAUUGAAGUAUAAGUUAUGUGGUUCAGAGAGCUUGAGGAAUUCUCUUGGAGGCCUGAACAUCAAGCACAUAUUAGGAGGAACUUUGAGUUUAGAGGGCCCGCCGGUCUGAGCGAUAUGUUUGUUGACAUAUGCAAGAUUGGUCAACUCCCUCUACGACUUGGAGAGGAUUUCUACACCUAGUUGCGUAGAGCUUGGGACUCUCAUGACUAUGCCAAUAGGACUCAACAGGUGAAAAGGAAUCAGGCUUUAGAAUGUGGGGAUAUGGACUCUUCUCUACACACUAGAGGGGCACUCCAACAUAUGGAGUACAAGAGGAGGAUGAUAAGAGUUAUUUUGUGCAUUAAAUCUUAGCUGAUGUUAAUAAUGUAAUAUCUUCUUUUUUAUCUUAAUAGACAAUGCAAUUUAGAUGAGAUCCCAUUGCCAUUGAACUGUGUGCUCGUACGCAUCAGCACCCGUCGUACCACCAGUGAGUCGACACUAGAUUUCAGAGAGCACGUGACAAAUACCACUGGCUGAAGGAGGCCCAGAGUCAACGCUUAGGAGUUCCUAUACAUAGUAGCGAUUUUGAUCAGUUGGACUAUGACCUCUAGAGAAAAGUCGUUGGGGACAAGAAAAAAGGAAAAAAAAUAUGGCUUGGGUUCACAAGGACUUGUGUAGGACGCAUGAUGCUUCAGAGCUCUACAUCUUUCCAGGACACUGAUGAAGUUCGCAGGCAGGUCAUUGCAUUCACUAAAGAUAAGAGCCCGAUGUGCCGCUCGACUUGCUGAGGCAAAGGCGAGAAUGAAGAUGGAAUUAGAGGAGGUGCGACGUGAGGCACGUAAGGGAGGGAAGUAGCCAAGGAUGUGGAUGAUGAGGAUGAUG